GUGCAAGCCACCAUGUAUUUAAAAAUAUAUUUACAUUAGUAUAACUAUGGGAUCCAAGGCUUGUAGAAUGACAUUGAAAACAAAAGACAGAAUUGGAAGCAAUGGGCAGAGGUUGUAAAGAGUUAAGUUUAGGCCUAAUAAUUAGAUUUAUCCUGCAUUUGAAUGAACUACCUUGGAUGGGUGUGGGUUUCCCCUUCCCUAGAGGUCUUCAAACACAAGUUAAAUGAUACCUUGUCAUGGGUGAAGUGGGAACACCUGUUCAGUUGCAUGCUGGAACAUAUGGCCUCUAAGGACCCUACCCUACUAUCCCUGAGAUUCUGUGAGAAUUAAACAUUUGUUAAAUUUCAAAUACCACAUUUGAGUAGUGUGCCCUCUUCUUUGGAGAAUUCACUGUUUCCUGCUCUCAUUUACCACAUAAUCAGUCCAGUUGAUUCCUUGAAGAUCCAUGUCCAGUGGUGGUUAUUGUUACUGCUACUUAGAAGCCCCUCCAUGUACAAAAUGUCCUUCUAUUUUUCAAUUGUACUAAUUAAUUUGCAUCUGAAUUUUGCAUAUAUUUUUAGGACGAGUGAUGAGAAAUCAGCUCACUAAGUCCACAUUUCAGGUUUAUCUACAUGUGUGUUGAGCUCAAGUCAUUCUAUAUACUGAAAUAGAGGCUAACAAGCAUGAGAGAAAUGAGAAGCAUAAUAAUAACAUCUUGAUUAAUUGAUAUCUAAAUAGUCAGAAGUUCUGUUCAUUAGAAUUGCUUUCCUGAAUUUAGCUUUAUUAUUCAGUGAUAAAUGACAAAAAAAUAAAUUGAUGCCAGAAAUCCUUUUGUUACUAACUGGCCUUUUCAAUCUCCUUACGAAAAGUAAACUCCCGAAUCAUCAAAGAUAAACUGAAUUAAGUGUAGUUUAUUGAAAUCUUACUCUGGCAGGAAAACAGCGUAAUAUAUUUUUUAAUUGUUUUGUUUUGUUUUUUAUUUUUACUAUGAAUGUAAACAUCAACAACAUGAACAUUUCACAAAAUGAGGAAGCAUUGGAUGGAAGAUGCCAAGAUACUAAUUUAGGCUUGAGGGAAAUUUUAAAGCUGAUCCCUUCCAGUUUUCAUGAUUGGGCAUUGCCAGUUUUUCAUGUUCAUCUUUAUUCUAAUUCCACUCGCCUAUCCAUGCAAGACAUGAGGGAGGGAAGUGUGAGUUCAAAUCCUGUCACUGACACUUACUAGCUGUGUGAGCAUAGACAAACCAUUUAAUCACUCUAAAAUUCAGUUUUGUCAUCUGCAAAAUGUGGGGGAUAAUAUUGUAGUAUCUAUCUCAGAAUAUUUCUGUAGACUCAUGA
rnacentral:lncRNA from 1 species